UUUACCCAACACUGGAGGAGAAGCUGCAGAGACAGUGGGACAAGGCUGAGCAGCUGCUUUACGAUGAGCUCAUCACCCACCAGGGCUACAGGAAGCUGCUGAGAUCUAUCUUCGAGGAGGUUGGGUACCUGGUGGCAGAGAGAGAAACACUGUCCUCACAGCCCCCAGCACAGCAGCCACUGGCCUCCUGCAGCGAGGAGCGCAGGAAACUGGCAGCUGAGGUGCAGGAGCUGAGGGCAUUACUGAACCAACACAACAUCACAGUCAGAGAGCAGUCCGGUCCAGCGGCUUCAGAGCCAAGUACCCGGCGCCCGACUUCGCCCUCACUCGCUCCCCGGCACCUCAGAGGGGAUGAGGGGCUUCGGGACGACGCACAGCGAAACCCCCUCCCCUAGGAGCAGUGACUAAGGCUGAGCAGAGACCGAGGAGCCGCGGAGGUCAGGACCAGACAGAAUGGCCGCUUGCCCCUCCCCCCUCGCUGGCCCCCCUCCCCAGGCAUCGCUCAUCCCCCCUCGCUAGGCCUUGCUGAGUGGAAGUAGGAAAGUGCGUCUUGUUUUGUUUCUGAACCCAAUGAAAGACUUUUUACUCCACAA